GACGAACGCUGGCGGCGUGCUUAACACAUGCAAGUCGAACGGAAAGGCCCUGCUUUUGUGGGGUGCUCGAGUGGCGAACGGGUGAGUAACACGUGAGUAACCUGCCCUUGACUUUGGGAUAACUUCAGGAAACUGGGGCUAAUACCGGAUAGGAGCUCCUGCUGCAUGGUGGGGGUUGGAAAGUUUCGGCGGUUGGGGAUGGACUCGCGGCUUAUCAGCUUGUUGGUGGGGUAGUGGCUUACCAAGGCUUUGACGGGUAGCCGGCCUGAGAGGGUGGCCGGCCACAUUGGGACUGAGAUACGGCCCAGACUCCUACGGGAGGCAGCAGUGGGGAAUAUUGCACAAUGGGCGGAAGCCUGAUGCAGCAACGCCGCGUGCGGGAUGACGGCCUUCGGGUUGUAAACCGCUUUCGCCUGUGACGAAGCGUGAGUGGCGGUAAUGGGUAAAGAAGCACCGGCUAACUACGUG
rnacentral:rRNA from 1 species